GAUGAACGCUAGCGGCAGGCCUAACACAUGCAAGUCGAGGGGUAUAGUCUAGCUUGCUAGACUAGAGACCGGCGCACGGGUGCGUAACGCGUAUGCAAUCUACCUUGUACAAAGGGAUAGCCCAGAGAAAUUUGGAUUAAUACCUCAUAAUGUUUUUAACUCGCAUGAGUUUUAAAUUAAAACUUCGGUGGUAAAAGAUGGGCAUGCGUUCUAUUAGUUUGUUGGUAAGGUAACGGCUUACCAAGACUACGAUAGAUAGGGGUUCUGAGAGGAUAGUCCCCCACACUGGUACUGAGACACGGACCAG
rnacentral:rRNA from 1 species